rnacentral:snRNA from 1 species
AAUAACAGUGGAUUAGUGUUGG